AACGCAUAUUGCACCCCUUGGUAUUCCUUGGGGUAUGCCUGUUCGAGCGCCGUUUAUAUCUUAAGGCUUUGCCUUGCGUUGAUGAUUUUGCCCCCUUUACAUAAAGGGGCUCAUCGAAACAUAUUGGCGCCUUUACUCUUGGGUCAAAUCGCAGCGAAAAUGCGAAAGGCUUACGGAGUUUUGAAGGCUUUGCCUAUUUUUACUAUCAAAAACAUGGCCUCGGAUCAGGUAGGGAUACCCGCUGAACUUAA
rnacentral:misc_RNA from 1 species